rnacentral:lncRNA from 1 species
AUAUACCUUGGCCGUAAAGUUAUCCAAAGGAAUUUUUCUGCCUAAGGUGAAAGACAAGAUCGUGCCCCACACUUCCAUUUCUGGUACAGAACCUGACCAGACUGGCAGUUGAAUCUUACUUCCUCACUUGUGACAGGAAAACAUUGUACCUGAGGGCAGCAGGCAGGGAAGGCCACACCGUUCUCAUGCCUUUGUCUGCCAACAGGUUGAGAAUUUGGAAUCCAUGUUGCGAUGAACUAAGUAUAGAAUCUGCAAUUCUGCAGUAGGCUGCUGAGAAUUUGGAGAGUCUGAGAAAUGUUCACAAACAUAAACGCUGCCUUGUUCGACAGGGGGAUUUGCCACUGGAAAAAUAAUUCUAAAAUGAUGGAGUCCCUCCGUGCUGGUCUUGUAUUUCAUAUUAAAAUCAAUGCAUACUGCAAAAGCAUCUCUAUAAAGAAAGUCCAAAGCACCCAUCAUGACAUGUGUUCCUGCUGCCCAAAGAACCAGUUCAGAUGUUACUUUUCCCAGAAUACAUGGGGAAAACAACUUAGUUAAAAUAAUAAAGAGCCCUAUGGUAGUUUUAAGACA